rnacentral:rRNA from 1 species
AGUUGGUGAGGUAAUGGCUCACCAAGGCGACGAUCGGUAGCCGGACUGAGAGGUUGAACGGCCACAUUGGGACUGAGACACGGCCCAGACUCCUACGGGAGGCAGCAGUGGGGAAUAUUGCACAAUGGGGGAAACCCUGAUGCAGCGACGCCGCGUGGAGGAAGAAGGUCUUCGGAUUGUAAACUCCUGUUGUUGGGGAAGAUAAUGACGGUACCCAACAAGGAAGUGACGGCUAACUACGUGCCAGCAGCCGCGGUAAAACGUAGGUCACAAGCGUUGUCCGGAAUUACUGGGUGUAAAGGGAGCGCAGGCGGGAAGACAAGUUGGAAGUGAAAUCUAUGGGCUCAACCCAUAAACUGCUUUCAAAACUGUUUUUCUUGAGUAGUGCAGAGGUAGGCGGAAUUCCCGGUGUAGCGGUGGAAUGCGUAGAUAUCGGGAGGAACACCAGUGGCGAAGGCGGCCUACUGGGCACCAACUGACGCUGAGGCUCGAAAGUGUGGGUAGCAAACAGGAUUAGAUACCCUGGUAGUCCACACCGUAAACGAUGAUUACUAGGUGUUGGAGGAUUGACCCCUUCAGUGCCGCAGUUAACACAAUAAGUAAUCCACCUGGGGAGUACGACCGCAAGGUUGAAACUCAAAGGAAUUGACGGGGGCCCGCACAAGCAGUGGAGUAUGUGGUUUAAUUCGACGCAACGCGAAGAACCUUACCAAGUCUUGACAUCCCUUGACAGACAUAGAAAUAUGUAUUCUCUUCGGAGCAAGGAGACAGGUGGUGCAUGGUUGUCGUCAGCUCGUGUCGUGAGAUGUUGGGUUAAGUCCCGCAACGAGCGCAACCCUUAUGGUCAGUUACUACGCAAGAGGACUCUGGCCAGACUGCCGUUGACAAAACGGAGGAAGGUGGGGAUGACGUCAAAUCAUCAUGCCCUUUAUGACUUGGGCUACACACGUACUACAAUGGCGUUAAACAAAGAGAAGCAAGACCGCGAGGUGGAGCAAAACUCAGAAACAACGUCCCAGUUCGGACUGCAGGCUGCAACUCGCCUGCACGAAGUCGGAAUUGCUAGUAAUCGUGGAUCAGCAUGCCACGGUGAAUACGUUCCCGGGCCUUGUACACACCGCCCGUCACACCAUGAGAGCCGGGGGGACCCGAAGUCGGUAGUCUAACCGCAAGGAGGACGCCGCCGAAGGUAAAACUGGUGAUUGGGGUGAAGUCGCAACAAGGUAGCCGUAGGAGAACCUGCGGCUG